UUUAUUCUUGAUAAAAAAAAAUAAAAUAGUAAAAAAAAAAAAACUUCAUUUUUGGAUUUAUUUUGAGUCACGUCGAUCCGUUCCGUGAGGUGAACCUAGCACAAGCAAGGAUGGACCAUCCACGUCAAAGCAGCACACCGGGUGACAACGUCGUUAUUUUUGGUACAUGAGAGGACGGAAAGCUCUUGUGUUCUGCCUUUGGAUGAAAGAAUUUUCGACAUGGAGGCGUGAAUCCUGAAGAAAACCCCAAGGCUUGAACAGUCUAUUUCAAGGACAGCAAUCCAACUUCAGAAUAAUUACAUGAGAUUUAACGUGAAAAGAUGAGUGAGAUAAUCGUUUAUCCUUAAAAUGUUGAGAGUCCGAUGGCGUGAUAAUAUAAACCGAGUAUUAAAAUUGAUAUAUUUAGAAUAAGAAUAGACCGCGUGGAAGCUGUAGCUGGAGAACGAAUGUGCUUUACAGUCAACAACCUUCAGUCUAUUUUAUUGACCUGUAACCUUGCGUGGCAAGGGGUUGAAAUCUUGUUGAUUCAUCGCUGUUUUUUGUUUUUUGUUCGCCAAAUUCAGCCCAGUGGCUAAGGCUGUAUUUUAUAAACUAUCCCCCCUUGGAUACCGUCAAUGCUUAACAACCUUUUUUCAAAUAUUGUUACAGAUACAGAGUCCCAGUUUAGCUACACAUAGAGAAGCUUUAAGUCUCUGUAAUUUGAUAAUACUAUAUACACGCAGCUAUAUCAAUCCUAUUGUCCCGAUACGGGUUGGAAGUUCUCUCGGCGUGUCCGCAAAUAAACAAAAGGAGAACAGACAUAAAUAUUGAUCUGGACGACAAUAACGGAGGUGUCGUAUCAAAAAUGAAUUCAAUUUAAAUAUUGUCAUUUCAUGGGGAAGAGAUGACAAUUUAAAUUGGUGAGAGCUUGACCAUGCAAUUUUCUCAACUUAUAAGGCCUACACAAAAUUUCGAGAGAGAGGAGUUCAGGCCUACUUUGUUUACCCGAGGUACUGAGAAUAACAAAGGGUCAUUACCGCGGCGUAGCCCCUUCAAGUUAUUCAAAAAUUAAUUUUCACGGGUUGUUUACCGCUCGAAGCUGCUCCAGUAUUUAGAUCGCUAUCUGGAUCAGCUGCAGCUAUCGACGCCGCGUUGAGUUUAUUAAAUGUGCUUAAUGGAAGAGCACUGUAUCAAAACUCUUCGUUAAACAACGCUAUCUCUAAUACAUGUAAGCAUGCAUGUCAUACAGGUAAAAAUUGCCCCGGGAACUCGUUAUCUUUUUAUUCAAAUAAUCACAUCGAAGGUAUGUAAACUUUGAAAAGGUUGUGUACCUGAUCCCCACCCUCCAAUUCGAACCCCAAUUUUUUCGCCCUGUUUUUUUGGAAAUCGCAAAACAACCAAAUCACGGUUAUCGUUAUCGCGAUGACGAUCCAAAGUUUAAAGUAGGGGGUGCGAUGGAUAGGAACGAAACGAGUAAACAAGGGUGGGAGACGCGGUCCGCCCCCUUCUACAAGUUCUGGUAUAUCGUACACCACCGACGAUGAACACCAGCUCUUGAUACUUGAGCGACAUUUUCUACGAGUUCCUGAUCAGUUCUAAGCACGCAAUCGACGGGGUAACUCGCAAGGAAUAUCAUAACGAAUAAUCGGGGAAUUAAACCGUGCGGAACAAAUGAGCCCUUGAUAACGAUGAAUGAGUUGGAAUCGUUGGAAUGAUAAUAGACACCGAAUGAAUGAAGGGGCGUAGUGGUACCGUAGGAGACGUUACGCGGACCUACAGGACGGGGUUGAUCCCAAAUCCUUCGGGAAUGCCGAUCGCUGCUUGGAAAUCAUCGAAACCUUCAACCGGUCAAGUCGCGUCGAUCAGCGCUGAUAUUUUUUUCGGGCGAAAUGACGUCUCAAAAUCUAACUCGGUCGCCAUCGACGUUUCCGCCGUAACAACCAUCAAUAAGUUUGAAGAUGACAGAAAUCACUUUCACGAUGCUAUUCGUCCGAUUCUUUUGGUUGCACAAUGCUUCGCCGUCCUUCCCGUUUCCGGUAUCCGGUAUUCUGAUCCAUCUCAUUUAACAUUCACCUGGAAAAGUCCGAAGAUAAUUUAUUACGUAAUUUCAUUCUGCGGAGCUGGUGUCCUUAUGAUUUGCAGCCUCGCUAGAGUCUGGGUAACCGGAAUUACGGCAACAAAAACAACGAACGUCGUCUUCUUCGGAUCAGCCUGCAUAACGAUGCUACUUUUUUUGAGACUCGCAACUAGAUGGCCAAAAUUCAUACGCGAUUGGGAAAAAGUCGAAGGAGAAAUGACCUCUCCACCUCCAGCUACUUCGAGGAUGCGUCUCAAAAAUCGUCUAGCUCUUAUGACCGGUAUUACCAUGUCAUUAGCAGUAGUCGAGCAUCUGCUGUCGGUUUAUUCUGGAUACGCGAGCGCCUUGGAGUGCGCAUUUCUUCGGGGGGACACCGACAUCGUUUCUACAUAUUUUCAAUCCCAAUUCCCUCAGGUCUUUCACCUGACAGGGUACAGUUUGUGGAAGGGUAUGUUGGUCCAGUGUGUCAACAUUCUGAGUACUUUUUCCUGGAAUUUUAUGGACCUAUUUCUCAUGCUUCUCAGCUUCGCCCUCACCGAAAGAUUUCGCCAGAUGAACGAGCGACUUUAUUCCGUCAGAGGAAAGUAUUGUUUCGUUGUUAAGGAAAUGCCGGAUUGGUGGUGGUUAGAAGCGAGGGAGGAUUAUAACAGACUGGCGAAUCUGACGAGACGCGUUGAUCAGUGCGUAUCUGACAUCGUUCUGCUUUCCUUCGCGAACAAUCUCUACUUCAUCUGUAUCCAGCUGCUCAACUCCCUCAAGUACAUUACAUUAAUAGCGAUACCGAGGCGAGGCAUCCCUCAAACGAUCUAUACGAGUUUUUCCUUCGCCUUCCUAAUCGCCAGAACUGUGGCAGUUUCUCUUUACGCUGCAGCAGUUAAUGACCAAUCUCUCCGACCCUCACCAAUACUUUACAGCGUUUCUGCGACCAGUUAUUCCACCGAGGUUCAGCGGUUUCUAACACAGGCGACUACCGACAGGAUCGGUCUGACUGGAUUAAAUUUUUUCGCAGUUACCCGAAGUCUUAUUCUGACGGUGGCUGGUACUAUCGUCACUUAUGAAUUGGUCCUGGUUCAAUUUAACGGAAUGCAAAAUGUCGACGCUGCGGUCUUCAACAUCACCAACGCUUGCGAAGAUUUCAUCAGCGUUCCCUAAAACAAGUAUUCGUCAAGAUAUGAACGUAGUUUAGUCGUGUCUAGUGCUGAUUGUCAUCGUAGCAUUUUAUUCUAGACAUGAAUUAGCCUGGGACCCUGGACUUAUCGCCGCGAGGUGGAUCAACUCUUCGGUCGAGCAUCUUAAAUUUUUACAAUAAACAUAGAUAUGUUCAAUUUAUCUAUGCUAUGAAUAUGAUUAUUUCGCAACCUGACUGUAUAGAGGAGAUUUGAAUUUCAUUUAUGAAUAUGUAGUGGUUAUAUCAUUUUUAACUUAUCUACGGUUCAUCAAAUCAGUAAAAUACUUAACAUAGAUAAUGAAUUCUCAAUUAUCUAUACAAUAAUAAUUAUAUUAUUUAUAACAAUCAUAAUCAUAAUAAUCGCUAAUUAAAACUCGGGCCCCAGAAUUUCAUGAGUUGCAAAUAAUUUCAUUACUAUAUCGCGCAGCUUUGAUUUCCUAAUGUUCAUUAUCAGUUGAAAUAGUACUUCCGAGAAGAGAAGAUAGAUAAGAUACAAUAAUAUCAGAGUAAAGUUUAAUAACUGGACAGCUAUGAUUAUACACACAUCUACGUUCCACGUGAUAUAUAUGCCUGCGAUUAUUUGAUCCUGUGUUAAGUAAAUCAAUAAGACAAAUCUCAUUUUUGUUCAGAUUUAAUAGAAUCACCGAAGAAAAUAAUGGAUGAUAUUAAUUGCUACAAA
rnacentral:misc_RNA from 1 species